rnacentral:rRNA from 1 species
CACGUAGGGGGCAAGCGUUGUCCGGAUUUACUGGGCGUAAAGAGCUCGUAGGCGGUUCGGCAAGUCGGGUGUGACAACUCCAGGCUCAACCUGGAGAGGUCACUCGAUACUGCUGUGACUAGAGUCCGGUAGGGGAGCAUGGAAUUCCCGGUGUAGCGGUGAAAUGCGCAGAUAUCGGGAGGAACACCAGUGGCGAAGGCGGUGCUCUGGGCCGGAACUGACGCUGAGGCGCGAAAGCUAGGGGAGCGAACGGG